rnacentral:rRNA from 1 species
UACGUAGGGGGCAAGCGUUGCUCGGAAUCACUGGGCGUAAAGGGCGCGUAGGCGGCCAUUCAAGUCGGAGGUGAAAGCCCAGGGCUCAACCCUGGAAUUGCCUUCGAUACUGUUUGGCUAGAGACCGGAAGAGGUAAGUGGAACUGCGAGUGUAGAGGUGAAAUUCGUAGAUAUUCGCAAGAACACCAGUGGCGAAGGCGGCUUACUGGUCCGGUUCUGACGCUGAGGCGCGAAAGCGUGGGGAGCAAACAGG